UACGGGGGGAGCAAGCGUUGUUCGGAUUUACUGGGCGUAAAGGGCGCGUAGGCGGCCAGCACAAGUCAGUUGUGAAAUCUCCGAGCUUAACUCGGAAAGGUCAACUGAUACUGUGCGGCUAGAGUGCGGAAGGGGCAACUGGAAUUCUUGGUGUAGCGGUGAAAUGCGUAGAUAUCAGGAGGAACACCGGUGGUGUAGACGGCUCACUGGACCGUAACUGACGCUGAGACACGAAAGCGUGGGUAGCAAACAGG
rnacentral:rRNA from 1 species